AGAGUUUGAUCCUGGCUCAGAAUCAACGCUGGCGGCGCGCCUAACACAUGCAAGUCGAACGAGAAAGUGGAGCAAUCCAUGAGUAAAGUGGCGUACGGGUGAGUAACACGUGGGUGAUCUACCUCUUAGUGAGGAAUAACCCUGGGAAACCGGGGCUAAUACCGCAUAAGCCUUAGCAGGGAAAGUCGAAAGACGCUGAGAGAGGAGCCCGCGGCCGAUUAGCUAGUUGGUGAGGUAAGAGCCCACCAAGGCAGAGAUCGGUAGCCGGCCUGAGAGGGCACACGGCCACACUGGCACUGAAACACGGGCCAGACUCCUACGGGAGGCAGCAGUGGGGAAUCUUGCACAAUGGGGGAAACCCUGAUGCAGCGACGCCGCGUGAGCGAUGAAGCCCUUCGGGGUGUAAAGCUCUUUCGUCAGGGAAGAUAGUGACGGUACCUGGAGAAGCAGCUGCGGCUAACUACGUGCCAGCAGCCGCGGUAAUACGUAGGCAGCAAGCGUUGUUCGGAGUUACUGGGCGUAAAGGGUGUGUAGGCGGUUCUUUAAGUUUGGUGUGAAAUCUCCCGGCUCAACCGGGAGGGUGCGCCGAAUACUGAGGGACUAGAGUGUGGGAGAGGAAAGUGGAAUUCCUGGUGUAGCGGUGAAAUGCGUAGAUAUCAGGAGGAACACCGGUGGUGUAGACGGCUUUCUGGACCAUAACUGACGCUGAGACACGAAAGCGUGGGUAGCAAACAGGAUUAGAUACCCUAGUAGUCC
rnacentral:rRNA from 1 species